GGCAGAAGCUCUCAGAGUUCAGUCUGAAUAUUCGUCUCAAACAAGCAACAGCUUCCAAAAUUUCCAGUAUAGUAAAAAUAGGAAAAAAAAUUUGAAUACGCGAAAUAAAUAGAAAACGAAUUUCGGAAUUGGAGAGAAACGUAAAACAAUUGAAAUUUAAAAUACUUUGGACCGCCAAAAACGAAUCAACUAAAAGACACAAAACGAAGCGGAAACUCUUAAUACACUUUUUGGAUAUAUGCCGAUUCCAGGAAUUUUAGAAGAAUCGAGUAUAAAAAACACGAAACAGUUGCGCAGCUACAGUCUGAAUCUCAAAUACACACCCUAUAUAAACCUUAAACUAUAAGCAAGAAACUAUAUACUUUAAUGUAUAAAGCCUGAAGCAAAGGAAUCAUCCACACAUCACACUGCUUACAGACGCCUAUCGAGUUGGUUAAUCACAACGAUUUCAAGCCUACGGUACCGAGCCGCCCCCCUUUCCGAGUCCCCCCCCUCCCCCCUCAUGGUUACUUGUUCCACGUUCGCCAAUUCCCAAUUCCCAAUUCCCGACUCGGACGGCCCGAGGGAUUCGCGUUCUUGAAAUCGUUAAUUGAGUUCUACACUUGUCAAUUGCUACACUUGUCAAUCGUUUGAAAUAUAUGCUUAACAUCAGAUA